ACGGGGCCACACUUGAAAAAACUAAAUGAAUGUGUAUCAAUCCAAGGCCUAAUACAAUACGUAGUACAUGAUAGAAAACGAUGCAUAGGAGACGUAUGAACGCAUAUAUGGUCCAUCGUGCUCAAAGCCAUUUAUAUCCGUGUAUUUUGGAAACAAAUUAAUUAAAGGUAAAAAAAAAAAAAAAACACAGAUUUAAGAGAGAAUAGGACAUCCUUUAACAAUGAUGUAUCUUAUUCAAGUAUGGGUCGACGACACUCGACAAUGAUUUCCUUAACUUUUGAUGUCUUCCUCUCUAUCUUAUAUCUCAAAUGUACAUUUUAGCCAUUUAUAUAAUAUAUACUAUUUGAGACUCAUUUAAGAGUCACAAUGGGUGUAUUAUUUCCUUUAAAUUUCAAAUCUAAUUUGUAGGCUAUUCAUUCACUCAUUCAUUUCAUAGUGUAAAAUAUACAUAUAUAUACUAACAAAAUAUAAUUUACUUACAAGGGUGUGCCGCCAAACCGUCUUAAGGUGAUCAAGUAUAAC
rnacentral:lncRNA from 1 species